GACGAACGCUGGCGGCGUGCUUAACACAUGCAAGUCGAACGCUGAAGCCCUUUCGGGGGUGGAUGAGUGGCGAACGGGUGAGUAACACGUGGGUAAUCUGCCCUGCACUCUGGGAUAAGCCUUGGAAACGGGGUCUAAUACCGGAUAGGACACAUCGCCGCAUGGUGUGUGUGUGGAAAGUUCCGGCGGUGCAGGUUGAGCCCGCGGCCUAUCAGCUUGUUGGUGGGGUGAUGGCCUACCAAGGCGACGACGGGUAGCCGGCCUGAGAGGGUGACCGGCCACACUGGGACUGAGACACGGCCCAGACGCCUACGGGAGGCAGCAGUGGGGAAUCUUGCGCAAUGGGCGAAAGCCUGACGCAGCAACGCCGCGUGGGGGAUGACGGCCUUCGGGUUGUAAACCUCUUUCGACCGGGACGAAGGGUGACUGACGGUACCGGUAGAAGAAGCACCGGCUAACUACGUGCCAGCAGCCGCCGUAA
rnacentral:rRNA from 1 species